rnacentral:lncRNA from 1 species
UAGAAAGGGUAAUUAGAUUGAAAAAUGAAGGGUAUUUGGAUAAGUAGAGCAAAAUAGGAAGAAUAAUAAGGGAGAAACGUGGCGAUACAAGAUUCUCCCAUGGAAGCUUAAGAGGAUGAAAUUGUUGCGUGGCAAGAGAAAAGACACGUGGAACAGAAAGUCCCCGGAAGAGAAAAGGCCGACAAAUCCAGACAGCAGGUGGCGUGUUUUGGGAUCAAAAUCAAGCCCAAAGCUUCCCUUUCCCUCCUCUGCCAUGCCAUCGUCACCCAUUUCCAUGUUUCCCGCUGCUCACUGUCUCUUGUUUUAGUAUUUUAGGGGGCUUCUUCACCGUAGCUUGCGACUUGGUCUUUGUUUGAAUGAAUCGUGGAGAAUGUCAGGAUUUUCAUGUCUGUCAUGUUUCACAUUCGUUGAUUCGUCGUUUACACGUGCACGUGCAAUGGAAUUGGGAUCAACUUGAGUUGUAAUGGCGAUAGCUGGUUAUAUAGAGUUAUAAAAUCCUCCCAUGAUAAUUUAAUUGGAUUUUUCUAUAUCAAUGUAGGCAAGAAACUGGAUCGAUGAAGUCAGAAACUUUACGAAAAACAAGUGAAGCUGAUAGUAUUAAAAAAUGCAUAGUUUUUGUUGUUUUAAUUCGUUUCUAUUUAUAAAAUAUAAAGG